rnacentral:misc_RNA from 1 species
UAUUGUACUUUAGCUGAAUUAAAGUUAAUGCUUGAACCAGCAAUUAAUUUGUUGUCAAUUUGUUAAUUAAAAGUAUAAUCAUUUGUCAAUCAUAAGCUUAACAUCACAUGUUGAUUGUUGAAUAAACACUGGCUACUAUGCAUAAGUGGCCAACAAGAAAAAU